CCUACGGGAGGCAGCAGUGGGGGAUAUUGGACAAUGGACGAAACUCUGAUCCAGCGACGCCGCGUGAGUGAAGAAGUAUUUCGGUAUGUAAAGCUCUAUCAGCAGGGAAGAAAAUGACAGUACCUGACCAAGAAGCCCCGGCUAACUACGUGCCAGCAGCCGAGGUGAAACGUAGGGGGCAAGCGUUAUCCGGAUUUACUGGGGGGAAAGGGGGCGUAGGCGGUUGUGUAAGUCUGGAGUGAAAGCCCGGGGCCCAACCCCGGGACGGCGUUGGAAACUGUGUAACUGGAGUACAGGAGGGGCAGGCGGAAUUCCUGGUGUAGCGGUGAAAUGCAUAGAUAUCAGGAGGAACACCGGUGGCGAAGGCGGCCUGCUGGACUGAAACUGACGUUGAGGCUCGAAAGCGUGGGGAGCAAACAGGAUUAGAUACCCUUGUAGUC
rnacentral:rRNA from 1 species